GCCUACGGGAGGCAGCAGUGAGGAAUAUUGGACAAUGGGAGCAAUCCUGAUCCAGCCAUGCCGCGUGCAGGAAGACUGCCCUAUGGGUUGUAAACUGCUUUUAUACAGGAAGAAAAAGCCCGACGUGUCGGGUGUUGACGGUACUGUAAGAAUAAGGAUCGGCUAACUCCGUGCCAGCAGCCGCGGUAAUACGGAGGAUCCAAGCGUUAUCCGGAAUCAUUGGGUUUAAAGGGUCCGUAGGCGGGACAAUAAGUCAGUGGUGAAAGUCUGCAGCUCAACUGUAGAAUUGCCAUUGAUACUGUUGUUCUUGAGUGCUUGUGAAGUGGUUAGAAUGAGUAGUGUAGCGGUGAAAUGCAUAGAUAUUACUCAGAAUACCGAUUGCGAAGGCAGAUCACUAACAAUUCACUGACGCUGAUGGACGAAAGCGUAGGUAGCGAACAGGAUUAGAUACCCUGGUAGUCUACGCCGUAAACGAUGGUUACUASCUGUUCGGAUCAAUUGAGAUCUGAGUGGCUAAGCGAAAGUG
rnacentral:rRNA from 1 species